ACGUAGGGGGCAAGCGUUGUCCGGAUUUAUUGGGCGUAAAGAGCGUGUAGGCGGCUUGGCAAGUCCGCUGUGAAAACUUGAGGCUCAACCUCGAGACGUCGGUGGAAACUGCCUGGCUAGAGUCCGGAAGAGGAGAGUGGAAUUCCUGGUGUAGCGGUGAAAUGCGCAGAUAUCAGGAAGAACACCCGUGGCUAAGGCGGCUCUCUAGUACGGUACUGACGCUGAGACGCGAAAGCGUGGGGAGCGAACAGGA
rnacentral:rRNA from 1 species